AUGGAAAAAGAUUUUCAUGCCUUUGCUAAAUCUGCCUGGAAUGCUACUUCCUCAUCUUCUUUCGUAGCAAAGUCUUCUUCUUUGGCAGGAUCUUUAAAAAGGUGGUGUAAGAAGAAAAAGCCUCUUCAAAAUGAGCUUUUGGAUCUGGAAGCUCGCAUCAAUCAACUUCAGCAACUUCCUUUCCAGCAGCAGGAUCACAAGUUAGAAACUUGUCUCACUGCUACAUAUGAGCACACUCUUUCUAAACUUAAUCAAUUCUAUAAGCAACGUAGUAAGAAUAAGUGCGCUGUGGCUGGUGACCGUAACACUAAAUUUUUCCACCAAGCUGUUGUCAAGCGUAGGAAGAGAAAUACCAUUUGUUCCGUUAAGGAUGAGAAUAAUAUGAUUAAUUUCAAUCCUACCGCUAUCAUGAAUACCUUUAUUAACUAUUUUCGUAUUGUGAGUAGACCUUACCUUUCCACUCAAUGGCCCGGCGGCUCUUUGGAUCCUACUUAUGUUCUUCCUGACAAUCAUGAGAUUUUACAGAUUCUUAAGGAUAUGAAACUCAAUGCUUCUCCAGGACCGGAUGGUUUUAAUUUUGAGUUCUAUUUAGCUACUUGGGACUGGAUUGGAGAUGAGGUAACUCAGCUUGUUAUUAACUUUUAUUUAACUGGAAUUCUUCCUCCGCACAUUAAUGACACCAACAUUGCUCUCAUUCCUAAAAAGCUUGUUCCUCAAGUGCCUAUGGACUACCGACCU
rnacentral:rRNA from 1 species